rnacentral:rRNA from 1 species
UACGUAGGGUGCAAGCGUUAAUCGGAAUUACUGGGCGUAAAGCGUGCGCAGGCGGUUAUGCAAGACAGAUGUGAAAUCCCCGGGCUCAACCUGGGAACUGCAUUUGUGACUGCAUGGCUGGAGUGCGGCAGAGGGGGAUGGAAUUCCGCGUGUAGCAGUGAAAUGCGUAGAUAUGCGGAGGAACACCGAUGGCGAAGGCAAUCCCCUGGGCCCGCACUGACGCUCAUGCACGAAAGCGUGGGGAGCAAACAGG